rnacentral:rRNA from 1 species
AUUGAACGCUGGCGGCAGGCUUAACACAUGCAAGUCGAGCGAGCGGCGGACGGGUGAGUAAUGUCUGGGAAACUGCCUGAUGGAGGGGGAUAACUACUGGAAACGGUAGCUAAUACCGCAUACCAUCAGAUGUGCCCAGAUGGGAUUAGGUAGUAGGUGGGGUAAUGGAUCACCUAGGCGACGAUCCCUAGCUGGUCUGAGAGGAUGACCAACGACACUGAAACGUAUACACGGACCAGACUCGUACGGGAGGCAGCAGAGGGGAAUAUUGGACAAUUGGCGCAAGCCUGAUGCAUCCAUGCUGCGUGUUUGAAGAAGGCGUGCGGGUUGUAAAGCACUUUCAGCGAGUAGUCGUUACUCGCAGAAGAAGCACCGGCUAACGACGUGCCAGCAGCCGGGGUAAUUC